rnacentral:rRNA from 1 species
UACGGAGGUUGCAAGCGUUAUUCGGAAUCACUGGGCGUAAAGGGCGCGCAGGCGGUUUUGUAAGUCUAAAGUGAAAGCCUUGGGCUUAACCCAAGGGCUGCUCUAGAUACUGGAAAACUUGAGUUCGGGAAAAGCAAGCGGAAUUCCUGGUGAAGCGGUGAAAUCCGUAGAUAUCAGGAAGAACACCAGUGGCGAAAGCGGCUUGCUAGAACGCAACUGACGCUUAGGCGCGAAAGCGUGGGGAGCAAACAGG